AACCCAAAAUGAUCAUCUUCUCCAUAUUGUUCUGCCGAUUUUUUCUCUCCUCCAUAGCCGAGGUUUCUUCAACUUUCAAACUUCAUAAUCAAGAGAAACGAGAUUCAAGUCGUGAUCGAGGGAAAAACAAAGUUUACAAGGAAUAGGCUCGAUUGUUAAAAAUUUUGUACCGAGUUUUGAACAAGCCGGCUUAGGAAUCGAGACAGGUCAAAGGUUCGAUCACACUAUCCGAAGGACUCUUUUUGGUAGCUAGAAAGCUGUGAAUGUAGAAAUAAAUGAUUCGAAGUUCUUAAUUCGAUAAAUUAUGUUCGGUAACACCUCAAGCUCGACUCCGGCGACGGUCUCGGGCGUGGGGGCGUUACAUAUCCCACUAGCUUUGGAAGGAUUGUGGUGGACACCAUCAACAUUAGGAGCCUUGAGGGGGAUCAUCUCCAAGAGGGCACACUGAAUUUCAUUGUAACAUCCUACACCCAGUUUGGAGGACGACCGAAUGCAAAGCACCACAUUCAUUAUCAAAGCAAUGCAAACAAACAUUCAUAUAGUCAUAUUUCAUAAAGUUUAAAGUUAAAAGCAUGCUAAUCAAUGUAUUGAAUAUUUAUAGAUCAUUACAAGUAAAACUCGAACUCAAAUGGACUUACAUAUGAAGUUUCAGGGUCAAAUAUGGUCAAA